GAUGAACGCUAGCGGCAGGCCUAACACAUGCAGGUCGAGGGGUAACUAGAGUGAUAGCAAUAUUACUUUGGCUAGACCGGCGCACGGGUGCGUAACACGUAUGCAACCUACCUUAUACUGGGGAAUAACUUCGAGAAAUCGGCGCUAAUACCCCAUAACACUGCGAAGAGGCAUCUCUUUGCAUUUAAAGCUCCGGCGGUAUAAGAUGGGCAUGCGUCCUAUUAGCUAGAUGGUAAGGUAACGGCUUACCAUGGCAACGAUAGGUAGGGGUCCUGAGAGGGAGAUCCCCCACACUGGUACUGAGACACGGACCAGACUCCUACGGGAGGCAGUAGUGAGGAAUAUUGGUCAAUGGGCGCAAGCCUGAUCCAGCCAUGCCGCGUGUGUGAAGAAGGUCUUCGGAUUGUAAAGCACUUUAAGUUGGGAGAGGGCAGUAACCUAAUACGUUAUUGUUUUGACGUUACCGACAGAAUAAGCACCGGCUAACUUCGUGCCAGCAG
rnacentral:rRNA from 1 species